CCUUACACUGAGGUGUACCCCAGCUGCUAAGGAGGUCUCUUUGUUGAGCUCCUGUAGCUCUGCAGGUUCUCUGCUGUAAAUAUACAGAACGUAGGGACUCACAAAACAAGCUGAGAGUGCCAAAGCCUUGGAGGAAAUCUUGGGCUCCACCUUCCAGUGUGCUGCUGCAGUGCUCUGACAGCUCAAAGAAGCCUUUUGGUCCUAUGUCACACCUCUGGGAGCUUCUCUGUGCACAUCUGUGAGCCACAGAGGUCAGGCUGUAAUGGGUGUAAAGAAAGAAAAGCAAGUUCAAACAGAAGGUGGGAGAACUUAGAAGGUGGGAGGAGGAGGAAACCAGUGGUCCAAAAUGGGCAAGUCCCAUC